AAAGAAGAAAGUUAUAAAGAAAAUGGGAAGAAGUAUAUAAUUCAAAAUAUCCAGACUUAUAGUUGUGUUUGUUAGAUCAGUGUCCACAAGAAUAACAGCCUAACUGAAAUGAAAAAAAGAACAUAUUUCUUAAUAGUCUUAUAAUUUUGUUGAAUAUAGUUGAAUGGAAAUAGUAAAAGGAUUUUAACAUAGCAUAAAAAUCCACUUUUUAUUAAAGAUAUAAUUGCAUUAAAGAAAAGUAUACGAUGAAGGGAAUUGCAAACAUAGUGAAAAUAAAAGAUCUUCUUACUUGCGAAAAAGAGUUAUGCAUCUUUAGCUCAACCUGUAAUAAAACCGUAAACCACUUACUACACCAUUGCAAAUUAACAGAAUUCAAAAGAUUUAUUUGUAUAUUGAUCCCAACUGAUAGCAUAUGCAAAAGUUUGAGGAAGAAGCAUGCGAUACAGGGGAGGAGGCUCAUUAAAACAUACAAAAAGCAAAAAUACUUGUCAUUAAUCUAAAAUAGAUUUAAGAAAACAAUCUGUUUUCUGCUUUCCUGCAUAUGACCUAAAAUUAGUAAAAAAAACCCAUGAAGAAAGUAAGGAAUAAAGAAAGUCAUGGUUUUAAAACUAUUUUUUUUCAUUUAUCUGUUAUUGUAAUUGAAAAAAACAUCUUUCAAAAACACAAAAUUACCCAACUAAACCAUAAAAGUUUAAGUAUGAAGUUAUAAAUCUAAUAUCAAUUUGGAAUCUAAUUCAAUGGCAAGAAAAGAUGGCAAAUGAAUGGAAUAGGAAGUGGUAUUGCAAUUUGCAUUUUAUACUUCUCUUUCUAGUCUUAAGAGACACCUGUAUGUUGUUUUUCAACAUGAUUCACCAACGCCACACUUUGACACAUGCACCACCUCCAUUGCCGCCACUACCACGACCAUUACUAUAACUAUCCUAACCAAGCACCACCAUUUGGACAAAACUGCCCCUAAAAUUCAAUAGGGAAAAUGACUUAUUAAGGUAACUAACUAUUUCAAUUGUUCAUAUAUAGGUAAUGUUCUUUUUUUUGUACACAUUAAGGUAACUAACUUGUUUUGUUUGUUCACAUUUAGGUAAUAUGACCGGCUAUCACCUGUUUUUGCUUAUGUGGCAUCCACCUGACAUAUGACUUGAAUACGUUGCACCUACGUGGCAUGGUGCAUAUAUGGAAAAAUGACUUAUUAAGGUAACUAACUAUUUCAGUUGUCCAUAUAUAGGUAAUGUUGUUUUUUUUGUACACAUUAAGGUAACUAACUUGUUCUGUUUGUUCACAUUUAGGUAAUAUGACCGACUAUCAACUGUUUUUGCUUAUGUGGCAUCCACCUGGCAUAUGACUUGAAUACGUUGUACCUACGUGGCAUGGUGCAUAUAUUGUCUUCAUUCGAUUACACUAUAACUGUGUCAUACGAUUCCACCCCUAAUUCUAAACCCUAGAUAGAUCGACGAUGGCUUCUUCUUCCUCAUCUUAUUCUUCAAAAUGAUAAGAUGAAUUUCAAGCUGAUCAUCCAUGUGAUUGCAGUUUACCAUCUCGUGUGAAGAUUUCAAGAACUCCUACAACAUAUUCAACAAUAUUGAUUUACCAUCGAGUUUUGACAAACUCUAAAUUUUCUUCCUGUGUUGUCAGGAGUUCUUGAAAUCUUCACACGAGAUGGUAAGCCACAAUCACAUGGAUGAUCAGCUUGAAAUUCAUCUUGUCGUUUUGAAGAAUAAGAUGAGGAAGAAGAAACAAAACAAGUCAUAUGCCAGGUGGAUGCCACGUAGGUGCAACGUAUUCAAGUCAUAUGCCAGGUAGAUGCCACAUAAGCAAAAACAGUUGAUAGCCGGUCAUAUUACCUAAAUGUGAACAAACAUAACAAGUUAGUUACCUUAAUGUGUACAAAAAAAAAGAACAUUACCUAUAUAUGGACAACUGAAAUAGUUAGUUACCUUAAUAAGUCAUGUUCCCAUAUAUGCACCAUGCCACGUAGGUGCAACGUAUUCAAGUCAUAUGUCAGGUGGAUGCCACAUAAGCAAAAACAGGUAAUAGCCGGUCAUAUUACCUAAAUGUGAACAAACAAAACAAGUUAGUUACCUUAAUGUGUACAAAAAAAGAACAUUACCUAUAUAUGGACAACUGAAAUAGUUAGUUACCUUAAUAAGUCAUUUUCCCAAAUUCAAUACAUGUGCAACAUAUGGAUAUAAAGAUGUAAGCCUUUUUUUCGAUAAAUCAAGAAUUGAUGAAACAUAAAACAUUACCAACUUAUACAAUUACACUAUCAACAUCAACACCUAAAGUCCCUGCAAAUAAAAUCCACAAAUAGAAUUAAAAAAAUAAGACGCAAAAUCAUUUUACAAUGAAGUCCGAAUAGCAUAGGUGAAGCAAAAAAAAUAGUAACAUAAAACUUCAAUCAAUUCAAGUGCUUACCUUUUUGUAAAAGUCGUUCUCGUGACCAAUCGAAUCCACCAGAAAACUUAUAAUCACUAUUUCACACUUGAUGGAUACAUGAGAUAGCAAAAGUCAUUAGAACGGAAGGUGGGGGAAACCGAAGGUAAACCCUAAAAAUGACAAAUGUAAAUGUAAUAAAUCAAGAGAAAUCAGAAAGUGAAAUGCAAAUCAGGUUCCUAAAUCAAACAAACCUUAUGAAAAUUAUUCUAAAAUCAAGGCGUUGAAGCAUCAACCUUCUAAUUGGGGGAAUUAAACCCUAAUCAAAGUGCUUCAUGUGAUGUUCCUGCUAUGAACUCCUAAAUCAAAACAUUGGACCUGGUCACAAAAAGAGGCAAAAUUGACCUAUUAUCCAGAAAAAGCAAACCAAAAAUAGAACUAAUACCUUAGUUAGAAGCGACGAAGAAGAUCCUAAGCAAGAGUAUUCGAAGCCGACGAAGGGAUCCCCAAAAUGACGAAGGCAAAAAAGCCAUAACGACCGAGAGAGCUACCAUUUUUCCCAAUAGAACUCUCGUAUUGUUGAUUCAAUUACCCGACCAGACUCUGACACAUCGUCGUUCCUUCCACUACCAUCAUUCUAUAGGGCUCUGAGGCAACCUUUUCGGAGGAAGACAACAAUUUAGGUUUUUUUGCUGUGCGACCUGAAAUUCCACUGAAAUAUCGUCGAUGCACUCUUUGGUGACCAUCAUCGUCGGUGCGAGUACCAUUAUACC
rnacentral:lncRNA from 1 species